rnacentral:rRNA from 1 species
AUGUCCAGCACCUCCUUCCCUCUCCUCACGCGGACCAACUACCCCAGUUGGUCGGUCAUGAUGAAAGUCAUCAUGGAGGCGCGACAUAUGUGGAAAGCUGUGGAAACCGGCGAUGUCGAGUAUGAGGAGGACCGGCUGGCGAUGGAGGCGAUCUUGCGCUCCGUCCCAGAGGAGAUGGUGCUCACCCUUGGCGCCAAGGAGACGGCCAAGGAAGCAUGGGACACCAUCAAGACUCUGCGCAUCGGCGUGGAGCGCGUACGGGAGUCGAAGGCCCAGACCUUGCGCCUCCAGUACGAGGAGAUCCGGUUUAAGGCCGGUGAACAAGUCGACGACUUCGCCUUGCGUCUGCAAGGUCUCGUCAACGAGCUCGCAAUGCUCGGAGAUCCCAUCGACAACAAGAUGGUGAUUCUCAAGUUCCUCCGCGUCGUCCCCAGGCAGUACAAGCAACUGGCCUGGUCCAUCGAGAGUUUGGUGGAUCUCUCCACCAUGACGAUCGAGGAGCUGGUAGGGCGGCUGAAGGUCGUCGAGGAGCGCGGCGACGAAGCCGACAACCGUGCUGGCGGCGAACUACUGCUCACCAGGGAGCAGUGGGACACGCAGCUUCAGCAGCGCGGCCGCGAUGGCUCUUCCGGCAGUGGGGGAGGCGCCCCCACGGGAAGCAGAGGUCGCGGCAGAGGCGGAGGCCGCGCCUAG